rnacentral:lncRNA from 1 species
CUAACUCAUUUGAGUUUGCCUUUUGGCUUACACAUUUUGUACAUUGGGAUUGUUAGUUGCUUAUUGACUGUUAUCUGUUGGUCUGAGUAUUGUACUGAUCUGUUUAGUUAUUUCCACAGGUACUUAAGUUGCUUAAGUUCAUUUUGAACUUUGCUUUGCUUGGUUGCUUAACCACUUAGGUAUAAUCCCUAAUCUUCAUGUAGUCUGGAAGACCUAUCCUGUUAUGUGGGCAGGCACCUGUCUGAAGCCCUCCUUAAGAGGCAGUGUUUUUGUUUGUUUAUCU